CAACAAGACCAAAUGUCAGGUCCUGCACUUUGGCCACAAUAACCCCAGGCAACGCUACAGGCUCAGGGCAGUGUGGCUGGAACACUGUGUAGGGGAAAUGGACCUGAGGGUGUUGAUUGACGCUCGACUGAACAUGAGCCAGCAGUGUGCCCAGGUGGCCAAGAAGGCCAAUGGCAUCCUGGCUUGUAUCAGAAAUAGUGUGGCCAGCAGGAACAGGGAAGUAAUUGUCCCCCUCUACUCAGCACUGGUGAGGCCGCACCUCGAGAACCAUGUCCAGUUUUGGGCCCCUCGCUGUAAGAAAGACAUUGAGGCCCUGGAGCGUGUCCAGAGGAGGGCAACAGAGCUGGUGAAGGGUCUGGAGCACAGGCCUUAUGAGGAGUGGCUGAAGGAGCUGGGAUUGUUCAGUCUAGAGAAGAGGAGGCUCAGGGGAGACCUUAUUGCUCUCUAUAACUACCUGAAGGGAGGUUGUCGUGAGCUGGGGGUCGGCCUCUUCUCUCGGGUGACUAGUGAUAGGACGAGAGGGAAUGGCUUCAAGCUGCGCCAGGGAAGAUUCAGGCUGGACGUUAGGAAAUACUAGUUCUCUGAAAGAGUGGUCAGGCACUGGAAUGGGCUGCCCAGAGAGGUGGUGGAGUCACCAAGCCUGGUGGUGUUCAAAGAGUGUUCGGAUGUUGUGUUGAGGGACAUGGUUUAGCGAGAACUACUGGUGAAGGGUGAAUGUUUGGAGUGGAUGAUCCUGUGGGUCUUUUCCAACCUUAGCAAUUCUAUGAUUCUAUGAUUCUAUUCUGGUAUCUCACGUGUCACACGUUAAAUGUAUACGGAUAUAUCACAACUUCUCUUUCUGAACAGUUUACUAGCAUCUUCAAUCAACAUAAUUUAUCAGUGAAAUCUGGAUUAUCUGAAUAAUACAUUCAAAAACCAAACAAAUUUCUGGAUGUGCUUUAGGGAAUAUUGGGCCAAAUACCUAUCUCUAGUAUUGAAGUGUAAACUUAGAUUUAAUCCCCUCAAUUUAACAAGGAUUUAAUUCUACUCUACACCAAUAUAAUUGAGAAU
ensembl:lncRNA